UGGGGAAUAUUGCACAAUGGAGGGAACUCUGAUGCAGCGACGCCGCGUGAACGAAGAAGGCUUUCGAGUCGUAAAGUUCUUUUAUAUGGGAAGAUAAUGACGGUACCAUAAGAAAAAGCCCCGGCUAACUACGUGCCAGCAGCCGCGGUAAUACGUAGGGGGCUAGCGUUGUCCGGAAUCACUGGGCGUAAAGGGUUCGCAGGCGGAAAUGCAAGUCAGGUGUAAAAGGCAGUAGCUUAACUACUGUAAGCAUUUGAAACUGCAUAUCUUGAGAAGAGUAGAGGUAAGUGGAAUUUUUAGUGUAGCGGUGAAAUGCGUAGAUAUUUAAAAGAAUACCGGUGGCGAAGGCGACUUACUGGGCUCAUUCUGACGCUGAGGAACGAAAGCGUGGGUAGCAAACAGG
rnacentral:rRNA from 2 species